rnacentral:rRNA from 1 species
AGCAGCCGCGGUAAUUCCAGCUCCAAUAGCGUAUAUUAAAGUUGCUGCAGUUAAAAAGCUCGUAGUUGAAUUUCGGGACUAAUAUGUCGGUCGUGCCUCGGUACGUACUGGCUUAUUGGUUUCUCCUUUCUGAAGAACCAUGAUGUCAUUUAUUUGGUGUCGUGGGGAAUCAGGACUGUUACUUUGAAAAAUUGGAGUGUUUAAAGCAGGCUCACGCUUGAAUACAUUAGCAUGGAAUAAUGAAAUAGGACGUUUGAUUCUAUUUUGUUGGUUUCUAGGAUCGACGUAAUGAUUAAUAGGGAUAGUUGGGGGCAUUAGUAUUCAAUUGUCAGAGGUGAAAUUCUUGGAUUUAUUGAAGACUAACUACUGCGAAAGCAUUUGCCAAGGAUGUUUUCAUUAAUCAAGAACGAAAGUUAGGGGAUCGAAGACAAUCAGAUACCGUCGUAGUCUUAACCAUAAACUAUGCCGACUAGGGAUCGGAUGAUGUUAAUUUUUAAUGACUCAUUCGGCGCCUUAAC